rnacentral:rRNA from 1 species
AGUCGAACGAUGAAGCCCUUCGGGGUGGAUUAGUGGCGAACGGGUGAGUAACACGUGGGCAAUCUGCCCUUCACUCUGGGACAAGCCCUGGAAACGGGGUCUAAUACCGGAUGAUACUUCUCCUCGCAUGGGGAGAGGUUGAAAGCUCCGGCGGUGAAGGAUGAGCCCGCGGCCUAUCAGCUUGUUGGUGAGGUAGUGGCUCACCAAGGCGACGACGGGUAGCCGGCCUGAGAGGGCGACCGGCCACACUGGGACUGAGACACGGCCCAGACUCCUACGGGAGGCAGCAGUGGGGAAUAUUGCACAAUGGGCGAAAGCCUGAUGCAGCGACGCCGCGUGAGGGAUGACGGCCUUCGGGUUGUAAACCUCUUUCAGCAGGGAAGAAGCGAAAGUGACGGUACCUGCAGAAGAAGCGCCGGCUAACUACGUGCCAGCAGCCGCGGUAAUACGUAGGGCGCAAGCGUUGUCCGGAAUUAUUGGGCGUAAAGAGCUCGUAGGCGGUCUGUCGCGUCGGAUGUGAAAGCCCGGGGCUUAACCCCGGGUCUGCAUACGAUACGGGCAGACUAGAGUGUGGUAGGGGAGAUCGGAAUUCCUGGUGUAGCGGUGAAAUGCGC